rnacentral:rRNA from 1 species
GAGCCCGCACAAGCAGUGGAGUAUGUGGUUUAAUUCGACGCAACGCGAAGAACCUUACCAGGUCUUGACAUCCUGAGAACCCGGCGUAAUGGCUGGGGUGCCCUUCGGGGAAUUCAGUGACAGGUGGUGCAUGGUUGUCGUCAGCUCGUGUCGUGAGAUGUUGGGUUAAGUCCCGCAACGAGCGCAACCCUUACGGUUAGUUGCUACGCAAGAGCACUCUAGCCGGACUGCCGUUGACAAAACGGAGGAAGGCGGGGAUGACGUCAAAUCAUCAUGCCCCUUAUGAUCUGGGCUACACACGUACUACAAUGGCGAAUACAAAGGGAAGCGAAACCGCGAGGUGGAGCAAAUCCCAUAAAAAUCGCCCCAGUUCAGAUUGCAGGCUGCAACCCGCCUGCAUGAAGUUGGAAUUGCUAGUAAUCGCGGAUCAGCAUGCCGCGGUGAAUACGUUCCCGGGCUUU